UCUAAAUGGCUGUAUAAACAAUUUUCUCGACAAUUUCUCUUCGCUCAAUAUUAUCCCAGAAAAGGGAUACUAACUUUUCUGUGAUAUUAAUUACAAAUGUGCACAUUUGUUGAAUGUGUCCUGUCCUGCGCAGUGUAUGAAUCGGCGUGGAUCAUUUAGAUUUAGAUAAACGUAAACGAUAAACGUAUUCGAUGUGUGCGACCGGUAUGUAAUUCAUGAUGUGCAUUCAAAUACAAAAUGCUACAAAGAGGACGUUAUGGACGCAAAUCAGAAAUAAACUCGAAAAAUUUGUAUGUUAGUUUUAAAACUUCCUGGAGGAAAUGUGUUCUCGAUGACCAACAAUGUUAACUGUUUGGAUCUGGAUGUUCUUUUUGUAUAGUGCAGUGAGGUAUAUUAAUUCAUUGUAGCAAUAUGCAACUUGAUGUUUGGUUGUAGGUAUACCAACGUGGUCCCCCGUAAUUGUAAACUUUCGUUGUACGUUAGUUUUCGUAUUGGGUAUUCUAAUUACAGUUCUACAGUUCCACCUAAGUCUUGUAUGUGGUCGAUUUUUAUGUUCCACGAACACGAUUCGUGCUUACGACAAGCACCACUAAUGCCAACUAUAAGAGCAACCUUUAAAUGUAAAAUAGAUAUGAUGUAACGAGUAACGAUUUGAAUGUGUAAUGUUAUAGUAGAUAUAAACUGUCGAGGGGGCUUUUUGAAUAAACAUUUUUACUUUG